AUUGAACGCUGGCGGCAGGCUUAACACAUGCAAGUCGAGCGGGGGAAGGUAGCUUGCUACCGGACCUAGCGGCGGACGGGUGAGUAAUGCUUAGGAAUCUGCCUAUUAGUGGGGGACAACAUCUCGAAAGGGAUGCUAAUACCGCAUACGUCCUACGGGAGAAAGCAGGGGAUCUUCGGACCUUGCGCUAUAGAUGAGCCUAAGUCAGAUUAGCUAGUUGGUGGGGUAAAGGCCUACCAAGGCGACGAUCUGUAGCGGGUCUGAGAGGAUGAUCCGCCACACUGGGACUGAGACACGGCCCAGACUCCUACGGGAGGCAGCAGUGGGGAAUAUUGGACGAUGGGGGGAACCCAGAUCCAGCCAUGCCGCGUGUGUGAAGAAGGCCUUAUGGUUGUAAAGCACUUUAAGCGAGGAGGAGGCUACUUUAGUUAAUACCUAGAGAUAGUGGACGUUACUCGCAGAAUAAGCACCGGCUAACUCUGUGCCAGCCGCCGCGGUAA
rnacentral:rRNA from 1 species